rnacentral:misc_RNA from 1 species
GCAUCAUGCUUCAAAAUUAGCUGUUCCAAGUAAAAGAAUGUACGUCUAUGAGAAACAUGCUGCCGGAGUUGGACAGAAGCAACCCACUGCUCAGGAUUGGCCUGAAUCCUUGAGCAAGUCUCGCACAUGGAUUCUUGCUGAAAGUACUCAACAACAUAUGCUUGUUCGAGUACCACACCAUUAAGAACCUCUUUUUGAACUCUCAGCCUGACCUUGAUCCUCUUAGAGUGUGGUUCAGUCCAAACAAAUUCUGCAUGUACCAU